rnacentral:rRNA from 1 species
GGCGGCGUGCUUAACACAUGCAAGUCGAACGGUGAAGCCCUUCGGGGUGGAUCAGUGGCGAACGGGUGAGUAACACGUGGGGAAUCUGCCCUGAACUCUGGGACAAGCCUUGGAAACGAGGUCUAAUACCGGAUACGACCGCUUCCCGCAUGGGGGGUGGUGGAAAGCUCCGGCGGUUCAGGAUGAUCCCGCGGCCUAUCAGCUUGUUGGUGGGGUAACGGCCCACCAAGGCGACGACGGGUAGCCGGCCUGAGAGGGCGACCGGCCACACUGGGACUGAGACACGGCCCAGACUCCUACGGGAGGCAGCAGUGGGGAAUAUUGCACAAUGGGCGAAAGCCUGAUGCAGCGACGCCGCGUGAGGGAUGACGGCCUUCGGGUUGUAAACCUCUUUCAGCAGGGAAGAAGCGCAAGUGACGGUACCUGCAGAAGAAGCACCGGCUAACUACGUGCCAGCAGCCGCGGUAAUACCUAGGGUGCGAGCGUUGUCCGGAAUUAUUGGGCGUAAAGAGCUCGUAGGCGGCCUGUCGCGUCGGAUGUGAAAGCCCGGGGCUUAACCCCGGGUCUGCAUUCGAUACGGGCAGGCUAGAGUGUGGUAGGGGAGAUCGGAAUUCCUGGUGUAGCGGUGAAAUGCGCAGAUAUCAGGAGGAACACCGGUGGCGAAGGCGGAUCUCUGGGCCAUUACUGACGCUGAGGAGCGAAAGCGUGGGGAGCGAACAGGAUUAGAUACCCUGGUAGUCCACGCCGUAAACGUUGGGAACUAGGUGUUGGCGACAUUCCACGUCGUCGGUGCCGCAGCUAACGCAUUAAGUUCCCCGCCUGGGGAGUACGGCCGC